rnacentral:misc_RNA from 1 species
AAUGAACAGUACAUGUUCAUUUGGCCAUAACUUCUUCUAGACAAGUCUAAAUGAUCUGAAUUUUAACCAGUAGAAAGAUUAGACCUAGGACUACAACUUUCAUUGAGAACACCAAGCCCAGAAAUGCCUCUAACCAAAUGAAAUUGUUGACUCAAUUCGGGACACCAAACUGACCUGCACUAUUCUGCCCAGAAUUUUCUGGACUAAAGCUCACCCGACCAGUUUUGGCAAAAUGGCCAUAACUUAGUCUACAAGAACUCAAAUGUAGUGAAACUAGUGGCAAAAUGUCCAAAAGA